ensembl:misc_RNA
CUGAAAAUUUGACCCAGGUACUCUAUGUACACAGUAAAUCCAGCAUGAGCAGUGGCCACACAAGCUUCCCCACACCUGCCCAGUCAGUAUGCCUCAACCCUGUCUUGGAUGGAUCCCUCUCUGGAGCGGCUCAGUCUUCAUGACCCAUUUAAUCCUUGGCCUCU